rnacentral:rRNA from 1 species
UACGGGGGGGGCAAGCGUUGUUCGGAAUUACUGGGCGUAAAGGGCUUGUAGGCGGCCAACUAAGUCCGACGUGAAAUCCCCAGGCUUAACCUGGGAACUGCGUCGGAUACUGGAUGGCUUGAAUUCGGGAGAGGGAUGCAGAAUUCCAGGUGUAGCGGUGAAAUGCGUAGAUAUCUGGAGGAAUACCGGUGGCGAAGGCGGCAUCCUGGACCAUUACUGACGCUGAGGCGCGAAAGCUAGGGGAGCAAACGGG